UACAGAGGCUACGAGCGUUAGGCGGAAUCACUGGGCUUAAAGCGUGUGUAGGUGGAUCGGUAAGUACCUUGUAAAAUCCCACAGCUCAACUGUGGAACUGCUUGGUAUACUGCCAGUCUUGAGGCACUCAGGGGCGAGCGGAACAAGUGGUGGAGCGGUGAAAUGCGUAGAUAUCACUUGGAACGCCAAUGGUGAAGACAGCUCGCUGGGGGUGUACUGACACUGAGACACGAAAGCCAGGGGAGCGAACGGG
rnacentral:rRNA from 1 species